rnacentral:rRNA from 1 species
AUACGUAGGGGGCGAGCGUUGUCCGGAAUGAUUGGGCGUAAAGGGCGCGUAGGCGGCGCGGUAAGUCUGGAGUGAAAGUCCUGCUUUCAAGGUGGGAAUUGCUUUGGAUACUGCCGCGCUUGAGGGCAGGAGAGGUUAUCGGAAUUCCCGGUGUAGCGGUGAAAUGCGUAGAGAUCGGGAGGAACACCAGUGGCGAAGGCGGGUAACUGGACUGCAACUGACGCUGAGGCGCGAAAGUGUGGGGAGCAAACAGGAUUAGAUACCCUGGUAGUCCACACUGUAAACGAUGAAUGCUAGGUGUAAGAGGUAUCGACCCCUUUUGUGCCGGAGUCAACACAAUAAGCAUUCCGCCUGGGGAGUACGGCCGCAAGGUUGAAACUCAAAGGAAUUGACGGGG